rnacentral:sRNA from 1 species
UCCCUCCCUCUCCCCUCCCCUGUCUUCUUACAAAGGAAAGUGUGCUCAUCUUUACAGGACAUAUGCUUUGUAUGGCAUUUACUCCGUUCUGCUAUUCUGGUGGGAAAGCAUUGCACGGCAUAGACUUAUAUGGCUGUUGCCAAUAAAGCUUUAUGUAUAAAGGCAAAUGGUAUGCCAGACUUAGCCUGCCUAUAAUGUGUAACCUUUGAUCUAGAACAGUAUUGCAUCCUGUGUUCUUGGACUAAGACUCUGAGGUUGAGAUCAAUGGAUAGCCUAUAUCCUAAGGUGUUCUUGUGAGAAUGAUCAUGGAUUGAAGAAAGAUGAAGAAGGGAUGAGCAGAUAGGGAAGGUUCUCUUGUACAGAUAAAACAAAGGUCACAGCCACCUCAGGAUUGGGAAUGUCUCUUCAGUGUUGCUCUGAGUUGGAGGAGGCUGGGUCUUUGUAUCCCAGGGAGUAGAUGUGACCUUUAAUGAGGAGCUUGCUGGUUAGUUCUCUAAGGUGGACGAACGAGGGAUAUCUCCCCAGAGAGUGCCAGGCAGUGCAUGUAAGAGCUGUUCACCCUGCCACUUUCCACCUCACCUCAUUAGGAGUUAGGAGUCUUCCUGAGUUCUCCUAGGACAGGAUUGCGAAUGAGAUCUAGACUGUCAUCUUCUCACCCAUGGGAAGAUAGCAGUGAACUAUUCUUUCCUAGUUAACCUCUGCUCACUCAGGAGCACAUUGGGCAAUUGUGAGAAUGAACUUGUACUGGGGGAAGUGGUGAAGGUGUUGUUGCAGUGUUGAGACCCAGAGACAUGUUUUUUUUAACUUUUUAAUACACUUUAAAUGAAAUAUUUAAGAAUAUUGAUGAUUAAAAUAUAAGUGUGCCACCCAUACUAGAGGCUAAUCUUUUUAGAAUCUUAGGUUACUUGUCAGGUAAGGCCUAAUCAGUUCGGUAGGAGAGGUCAACCAGAUGAUCACUUAAAUUCUUCUUUCACUGAGGGAGGGGUUUUCUGUCAUUGUAGCUGUCAGAAAAAUUAUCAGAGUAAUUCUCAGAAUUGAAUGGAGUGAUUCCCAAGCAAGGGAGGUACAUUCAUGCCCUCUACCCCUUCCCACCAUUGACUCUAGGACUGCCUCAUAUCUUCUGACCAAAGCCUGACAAACUGCCUCUUGCUCUUUUCCUAUUUCCUAAACUAUUCAUCAUGCCCACUAGCCCAGAGUCCCCUUUUAUUGUCAGCAACAAAGUCUGUCACUUUGUGCCAGUCACCAUUGUCACUAGUGAUUGGGACACCUGCUAAGCUCUAGCACCUUCUGGUAUCUCCAUACCAGAAUUCCAUCUGGACAGCCUGUUCUCAUUUCUUUGCUUUGUCAGUCCUGGUUCCAGGCACUCUGCUGCUCUCUGAUUGCACAGUUCUGAAACAAAACUCGGGUGUGUAGGCUACAGUCUUUUAAAGUGACCUCUUUACUCCAUAGCAGCUCUUUUCCUCUAGGCUGCACACUCUGAAAAGGUGACAACCCUGUGAGUCACUGUCUUGACCCUGCAGAGCAUCAUGGGGCUUAGAGCAGAUAUUCAGGGUUUGGUUGUUACAUGGAGGUCAAGAUACUCUGAUGAGCCAAUAAAGCAACUGAUGUGACAUCAGGGCCACUCAAGUGCCCUGUGUCUUCUUCCUUGUACAACCACUCCUCACACCUGGACCCAACAUUCUCUAACCAAGGAAGGGGGGAGUCAUGUAAGAUUCACCAUCAAAAGGAUUUCUCCCAGGAUGCCAUCUUACCUUUAGUCAUCAUGCCUGCUUCUGCCUUCACAGAGGGGAGAGGAAGACUUGCUAACUACCAGCAACCAGUUGCAAUGAGAAUCACAGACAGACAACUCAGGGAAUAGAAGAUCCACACAUAGUGCAUGAAAAUGCAGCAAACAGA